GACGAACGCUGGCGGCGUGCUUAACACAUGCAAGUCGAACGGAAAGGCCCUGCUUUUGUGGGGUGCUCGAGUGGCGAACGGGUGAGUAACACGUGAGUAACCUGCCCUUGACUUUGGGAUAACUUCAGGAAACUGGGGCUAAUACCGGAUAGGAGCUCCUGCUGCAUGGUGGGGGUUGGAAAGUUUCGGCGGUUGGGGAUGGACUCGCGGCUGAUCAGCUUGUUGGUGGGGUAGUGGCUUACCAAGGCUUUGACGGGUAGCCGGCCUGAGAGGGUGACCGGCCACAUUGGGACUGAGAUACGGCCCAGACUCCUACGGGAGGCAGCAGUGGGGAAUAUUGCACAAUGGGCGGAAGCCUGAUGCAGCAACGCCGCGUGCGGGAUGACGGCCUUCGGGUUGUAAACCGCUUUCGCCUGUGACGAAGCGUGAGUGACGGUAAUGUGUAAAGAAGCACCGGCUAACUACGUG
rnacentral:rRNA from 1 species